GCAUGGAGAGUUCAUUAAAGAGAGCAAUUUUGGUUACAGACGAGCAUGCGCUCCAUUAGCCAGUUGGCGGGGUAACGGCCCACCAAGGCGACGAUGGAUAGGGGUUCUGAGAGGAAGGUCCCCCACAUUGGAACUGAGACACGGUCCAAACUCCUACGGGAGGCAGCAGUGAGGAAUAUUGGUCAAUGGUCGGCAGACUGAACCAGCCAAGUCGCGUGAGGGAAGACGGCCCUACGGGUUGUAAACCUCUUUUGUCGGAGAGUAAAGUACGCUACGCGUAGCGUAUUGCAAGUAUCCGAAGAAAAAGCAUCGGCUAACUCCGUGCCAGCAGCCGCGGUAAUACGGAGGAUGCGAGCGUUAUCCGGAUUUAUUGGGUUUAAAGGGUGCGUAGGCGGCACGCCAAGUCAGCGGUGAAAUUUCCGGGCUCAACCCGGAGUGUGCCGUUGAAACUGGCGAGCUAGAGUGCACAAGAGGCAGGCGGAAUGCGUGGUGUAGCGGUGAAAUGCAUAGAUAUCACGCAGAACCCCGAUUGCGAAGGCAGCCUGCUAGGGUGCGACAGACGCUGAGGCACGAAAGCGUGGGUAUCGAACAGGAUUAGAUACCCUGGUAGUCCACGCAGUAAACGAUGAAUACUAACUGUUUGCGAUACAAUGUAAGCGGUA
rnacentral:rRNA from 1 species